UAGGGAAUCUUCCGCAAUGGGCGAAAGCCUGACGGGGCAACGCCGCGUGAGUGAUGAAGGUCUUCGGAUCGUAAAACUCUGUUAUUAGGGAAGAACAAAUGUGUAAGUAACUAUGCACGUCUUGACGGUACCUAAUCAGAAAGCCACGGCUAACUACGUGCCAGCAGCCGCGGUAAUACGUAGGUGGCAAGCGUUAUCCGGAAUUAUUGGGCGUAAAGCGCGCGUAGGCGGUUUUUUAAGACUGAUGUGAAAGCCCACGGCUCAACCGUGGAGGGUCAUUGGAAACUGGAAAACUUGAGUGCAGAAGAGGAAAGUGGAAUUCCAUGUGUAGCGGUGAAAUGCGCAGAGAUAUGGAGGAACACCAGUGGCGAAGGCGACUUUCUUGUCUGUAACUGACGAUGAUGUGCGAAAGCGUGGGGAUCAAACAUG
rnacentral:rRNA from 1 species